rnacentral:rRNA from 1 species
CCUACGGGUGGCAGCAGUGAGGAAUAUUGGUCAAUGGGCGCGAGCCUGAACCAGCCAAGUCGCGUGAGGGAAGACGGCCCUACGGGUUGUAAACCUCUUUUGCCGGGGAGCAACGGGCGCCACGUGUGGCGCCACUGAGAGUACCCGGAGAAAAAGCAUCGGCUAACUCCGUGCCAGCAGCCGCGGUAAUAAGGAGGAUGCGAGCGUUUUCCGGAUUUUUUGGGUUUAAGGGGUGCGUAGGGGGAGCGUUAAGGAGGUGGUAAAAUGGAGGGGCUCAACCCAUACCCGCCAUUGAAACUGGCGCUCUUGAGUGGAAGAGAAGUAUGCGGAAUGCGUGGUGUAGCGGUGAAAUGCAUAGAUAUCACGCAGAAUCCCGAUUGCGAAGGCAGCAUGCCGGCUUCCGACUGACGCUGAAGCACGAAAGCGUGGGGAUCGAACAGGAUUAGAUACCCGUGUAGUC